rnacentral:misc_RNA from 1 species
GAUGAAGAACGCAGCGAAAUGCGAUACGUAAUGUGAAUUGCAGAAUUCAGUGAAUCAUCGAGUCUUUGAACGCACAUUGCGCCCUCUGGUAUUCCGGAGGGCAUGCCCGUCCGAGCGUCAUUGCUGCCCUCAAGCACGGCUUGUGUGUUGGGCCCCGCCCCCCGAUCCCGGGGGGCGGGCCCGAAAGGCAGCGGCGGCACCGCGUCCGGUCCUCGAGCGUAUGGGGCUUUGUCACCCGCUCUGUAGGCCCGGCCGGCGCCUGCCGAUCAACCAAACUUUUUUCCAGGUUGACCUCGGAUCAGGUAGGGAUACCCGCUGAACUUAAGCAUAUCAAUAAGCGGAGGA